CUAGAGAGGACUUAGAACCUCUCAAAAAGGGCAGGUCAGUCCUGCAUUUCUCUCCCCAUUCCCAGAGCCUGAUUUCUCUUUACUUGUACCGUGCAGUAACCCAACAAGAUGGUUUUAUUAGUAGUGUACCUACUUUCCAAGUAAAACCAAAUUUCUUAAUUUAAAAGUGCUGCAAACGAAUCACAUAAGGGAUAUGCUGCAAGGUGGAGACAAAACUGCAGUGGCAUCCAGUUAUUUCUCAUUAGUACACUACACUCUUGCCUAUAAGAAUCCCCACACUCUUGCCUAUAAGAAUCCCCACACCACCUCCAAAGACUUCCCUCCACAUACUUUAAUUUUUCAGCCAGAUAGCAAGUUUGAGAGUGAGUGUUUGGGAGAAUAGUUUCUGCAGAGUGCAUGUAGGCAGUUUCUACUCUCCAUAGGGACGCCUUCGCACGUCAUUUCAGACCAAAUCAAGGAAACUUUUCGACUAAGGAAAUAGCUUUUGAGGUGGGCAUUUUUUUCAAAACGUGAUUUUAGUAUGAAUAUGUGAAUCUUUUCUAAAUAUGUUUGUCAUGUCAUGUUUUGCUUUUACGAUUACCUAUCUGCUUGGUUAUGCCAAUUAUGUUAAAUCAAAUUCGGAUCCCAGUAGGGCCGCAAACCCUACUCGGACUAGUGUACACAUAUGGGGAUUGUGAGCUAGCUUUCGAGUUGGUCGGUCCAGUGACCGUCGUGGAAUGUGCCACAUUCCCGGUUCACAUACGUUCAAAUAUGGUAUCUAUGUUUAUGUGAUUGAGCAAUCAAUUUUAUGAAAUGAAAGGAAUUUAGUGACUCGGAUUUUUUAAAUGAAAACCCUGUGUUCACUCAAUUAUGGCUGACAAAUUAAAAGGAACUUAUUUUUGGCACUAUGCUCACUCAGUAUAUCAAGUACUCAGCCCUGCAUGUUUCUUUUCUAACGUGCGGGUUGAACGUGAACGAGGAAGCGAAGGUGUUGGGAAAUGACUAUUAAUAAGUAGUUAGGUAGCCCAAAGUAGUAUGUCUUCGUACAUACUAUUUUGUCUUGGACUCUUCCGCUGCAAUAGAACUAUGUUCUAAGAAUUUAUGAAUUUAGUCUC